rnacentral:rRNA from 1 species
GUGGGGAAUAUUGGACAAUGGGGGGAACCCUGAUCCAGCCAUGCCGCGUGUGUGAAGAAGGCCUUUUGGUUGUAAAGCACUUUAAGCGAGGAGGAGGCUACCGAGAUUAAUACUCUUGGAUAGUGGACGUUACUCGCAGAAUAAGCACCGGCUAACUCUGUGCCAGCAGCCGCGGUAAUACAGAGGGUGCAAGCGUUAAUCGGAUUUACUGGGCGUAAAGCGCGCGUAGGUGGCCAAUUAAGUCAAAUGUGAAAUCCCCGAGCUUAACUUGGGAAUUGCAUUCGAUACUGGUUGGCUAGAGUAUGGGAGAGGAUGGUAGAAUUCCAGGUGUAGCGGUGAAAUGCGUAGAGAUCUGGAGGAAUACCGAUGGCGAAGGCAGCCAUCUGGCCUAAUACUGACACUGAGGUGCGAAAGCAUGGGGAGCAAACAGGAUUAGUUACCCGGGUAGUCC